rnacentral:rRNA from 1 species
AGAGUUUGAUCAUGGCUCAGAUUGAACGCUGGCGGCAGGCCUAACACAUGCAAGUCGAACGGUAACAGGAAACAGCUUGCUGUUUCGCUGACGAGUGGCGGACGGGUGAGUAAUGUCUGGGAAACUGCCUGAUGGAGGGGGAUAACUACUGGAAACGGUAGCUAAUACCGCAUAACGUCGCAAGACCAAAGAGGGGGACCUUAGGGCCUCUUGCCAUCGGAUGUGCCCAGAUGGGAUUAGCUAGUAGGUGGGGUAAAGGCUCACCUAGGCGACGAUCCCUAGCUGGUCUGAGAGGAUGACCAGCCACACUGGAACUGAGACACGGUCCAGACUCCUACGGGAGGCAGCAGUGGGGAAUAUUGCACAAUGGGCGCAAGCCUGAUGCAGCCAUGCCGCGUGUAUGAAGAAGGCCUUCGGGUUGUAAAGUACUUUCAGCGGGGAGGAAGGGAGUAAAGUUAAUACCUUUGCUCAUUGACGUUACCCGCAGAAGAAGCACCGGCUAACUCCGUGCCAGCAGCCGCGGUAAUACGGAGGGUGCAAGCGUUAAUCGGAAUUACUGGGCGUAAAGCGCACGCAGGCGGUUUGUUAAGUCAGAUGUGAAAUCCCCGGGCUCAACCUGGGAACUGCAUCUGAUACUGGCAAGCUUGAGUCUCGUAGAGGGGGGUAGAAUUCCAGGUGUAGCGGUGAAAUGCGUAGAGAUCUGGAGGAAUACCGGUGGCGAAGGCGGCCCCCUGGACGAAGACUGACGCUCAGGUGCGAAAGCGUGGGAGCAAACAGGAUUAGAUACCCUGGUAGUCCACGCCGUAAACGAUGUCGACUUGGAGGUUGUGCCCUUGAGGCGUGGCUUCCGGAGCUAACGCGUUAAGUCGACCGCCUGGGGAGUACGGCCGCAAGGUUAAAACUCAAAUGAAUUGACGGGGGCCCGCACAAGCGGUGGAGCAUGUGGUUUAAUUCGAUGCAACGCGAAGAACCUUACCUGGUCUUGACAUCCACGGAAGUUUUCAGAGAUGAGAAUGUGCCUUCGGGAACCGUGAGACAGGUGCUGCAUGGCUGUCGUCAGCUCGUGUUGUGAAAUGUUGGGUUAAGUCCCGCAACGAGCGCAACCCUUAUCCUUUGUUGCCAGCGGUCCGGCCGGGAACUCAAAGGAGACUGCCAGUGAUAAACUGGAGGAAGGUGGGGAUGACGUCAAGUCAUCAUGGCCCUUACGACCAGGGCUACACACGUGCUACAAUGGCGCAUACAAAGAGAAGCGACCUCGCGAGAGCAAGCGGACCUCAUAAAGUGCGUCGUAGUCCGGAUUGGAGUCUGCAACUCGACUCCAUGAAGUCGGAAUCGCUAGUAAUCGUGGAUCAGAAUGCCACGGUGAAUACGUUCCCGGGCCUUGUACACACCGCCCGUCACACCAUGGGAGUGGGUUGCAAAAGAAGUAGGUAGCUUAACCUUCGGGAGGGCGCUUACCACUUUGUGAUUCAUGACUGGGGUGAAGUCGUAACAAGGUAACCGUAGGGGAACCUGCGGUUGGAUCACCU